UUAACGGAAGGCAUUUUUAACCUGGAGUCAAUACGUUAGGGGCAGUUCUGACCCUUUUCCCUACUUAAAAUUAACUUUUGUUAAUUAAAUCUAAGAAAUCUACUAGUCGAAAAAAAAAUUGAUGCAGAUGGUGACUUAGGCGUAGUUAAGUAUGAAAAUAACGAACCAUCGUCCCUGUAAAGUAUUGUAAUCCUACAUCGGUAACAUUGUUUUAUUUUAUUAAAAGGAAAAUAAGACAAUCACUUUCACACAAAAAUAUUGUAAUAUUAACGACCCUGACUUACACUCCUGCAUUUCUAGGUUAAGUAAGCUGUAGAGUUUAUGUCAAAUCUCAGGUAAUACUGUCCAUCUCCCUGCAUUUUUUUGGGGUAACAUUUAAAAUGCUUUUAUUGAUCACCAAGAGCUGCAUUUAAGUUCAUCUCAGUUUAAUAUUACGAAAUUUUGUUUUAAGUAGUAAUAAAUAAUAUUGCUCUGUAACAAUUUAAACUUCUAGAUAAAAUGGUUUAUACAAUCCAACAACAAUGAAUCACUAUAAGGCCACAUACAGCAACUUCGACAGCAGAUUAGUCGUUACUGAUGCAAGAACACCUAUAUGCUGUUGUAAGUUUUCAUAAUUUAAAUAUAUACAAGGUGUAGCGACCUAUCUCAUAAUUUCCUCUCUACUCAAA
rnacentral:lncRNA from 1 species